ACCAGCGGUCAGUCAGCUGUGCAGGCGUGUACCGUGCCUGAUCUAGUGUUACUCUGCUGGAAGAGAAAGGUAUCACCGUUUAAGCCAUGUUCAGGGCUUGCUGUUUUAGUAACGUCCUGGUGCAUGGCUGUGGUGGUGUCUUGUCCAUUUGAGAGUGGGCCGGUCUAUCACACCUUGGGGGUGGCCCUAGUCUAUGGGCAAACAUG